rnacentral:pre_miRNA from 1 species
AUCACCUGGGGAUCUUAUUAAAAUGCAGAUUCUCAUUAAGUAGUUUGGAGGUGGAACCCAAGAUGCUGUGUUUCUAAUAGGUUCCAAGGUGAUGCCAA